AUAUAAUUUUUUAAUGCAUCUGCAUUUCACCUCAAGCACAGACUGCUUACACAGUUUUGUAUUCCACCUAAAAAG